CUCUUCCUGCUGUGUUCGUCAGGGAUCUGGCUAAUUUGAACCAACAUUCAAAACCUUGGAGACUGUUGUCGGAUCGGCCUAUAAGCCAUUCGCUUGUUUCCACCUGUUUAUCAGGUUCAAGGUGCCUCUUCUCAACGGCAUAAGCGGGAAUUAU
rnacentral:other from 1 species